AAGUUAAAACCAGUGGAUGGCACUCAGCAUGGGGUUGAAUUACGUCAUCAUCAGCUGAAAUGCAUGCUUACUGACACCAUGAAGAUGGGAUGAACAGAGCAGAAAUGGAGAAGCUAAUUGGACAAUAUGAGAUCCAUCUCCUGCUCUCUUACAGUCUUCUAAAGAAAAGCUUACCAACAAUUUCAGAAAACAAAAUAUUAAUGCAAGACCUAGAUAAAGGAGAUGCCGAGAUGAUUUCAUUUAAUGAGCUGUCAAGUAAGCUUCUUCAAGAGUACAGUGGUGAUGACACAAGAAAUGUGAAGGAAAUUAUGAAAUCACUUGAAUACCUCAUGGAUUAACCUGAAACACAGAACUUGCAAUAGGCAGAAUCGUUUGGAGGCUGACCUAAGACAGUACAUGCCUUGUUCAGAGACCUUGAAAAGUUCCUCAAGUGGAUACAAGAAGCAGAAGCUACAGUUAAUGUCCUUGCAGAUGCAUUGCAACGGGAACCACUACUCCAGUCAGUGGUCCUGGAAGGGAACUGAAGAACAA